GAUUUACUGACUCAAAACAGGCUCAAAGCAAGUCACCGACCAGCCAGGUACUGAAAUCUCCAAAACCACAAGGCACAACAAACCUUUCUUCUCUUGAUAUCUCAGGUGGUUUGCUCAGUAAUGGAAAGUUGACUAACACAGGUGGGGAGAAAAGUCGCCUGUGAGAAAGCAAAACCUCAGGCCCUCCUGACAUGGGAGUGAACGGAAUCUCUAGUCACCACAAGCCGUGAGCGCAAGGAAGCAGGGUCCCCCUCAUGACCAGAACCCAGAACAGUGACAACACGCAGGAGGUUCUCCAAGAGCACAUGCGGAAUGAAAGCACCAUGACCUUGACCGGUCGAAUGAGGCAGAGGGGCUGUUUCGUGGAUUCUAGAGUCUUAGGAGGUCUAUCAGCUUCUGCUUUUGCCUUCUUGGAGCCCUGAGUGACCAAGUUAAGAAGUCUGGUCAUCCACUGGGAGAGGACGGGUGGACAGAAAGGCCCUAGAGGGUGAAAGUCAUGAGAACGAGGAUGAAAGUUCUGCCAGUCCCAGACGAGUGCCCCAACUCAUGGAGGGGAAGCUGACCAUCCUACCAAGCCCUGUAGGCCACUGGCAGAUCCGGGGGCAAAUAAAGCUGUCUUUGCUUUAUGUCACUAAAUUUUGA
rnacentral:lncRNA from 1 species